UAGGGAAUAUUGCACAAUGGACGAAAGUCUGAUGCAGCAACGCCGCGUGGAGGAUGACACAUUUCGGUGCGUAAACUCCUUUUAUAUGUCAAGAUAAUGACGGUAGCAUAUGAAUAAGCGCCGGCUAACUCCGUGCCAGCAGCCGCGGUAAUACGGAGGGCGCAAGCGUUACUCGGAAUCACUGGGCGUAAAGAGCGUGUAGGCGGAUAAGUAAGUCAGAAGUGAAAUCCUAUAGCUUAACUAUAGAACUGCUUUUGAAACUGCUUAUCUAGAGUAUGGGAGAGGUAGAUGGAAUUUCUGGUGUAGGGGUAAAAUCCGUAGAGCUCAGAAGGAAUACCGAUUGCGAAGGCGAUCUACUGGAACAUUACUGACGCUAAGACGCGAAAGCGUGGGGAGCAAACAGG
rnacentral:rRNA from 1 species